rnacentral:rRNA from 1 species
UACGUAGGGGGCAAGCGUUAUCCGGAUUUACUGGGUGUAAAGGGAGCGUAGACGGCUUUGCAAGCCAGAUGUGAAAGCCCGGGGCUCAACCCCGGGACUGCAUUUGGAACUGUGUGGCUAGAGUGUCGGAGAGGCAGGCGGAAUUCCUAGUGUAGCGGUGAAAUGCGUAGAUAUUAGGAGGAACACCAGUGGCGAAGGCGGCUUACUGGACGGCAACUGACGCUGAGGCUCGAAAGCGUGGGGAGCAAACAGG